ensembl:lncRNA
CACUAUAGGGUCGCCGCUACGUUACGUUAGGCAAGUGCGCAGCUGGCGCGUUGAUAACAUGAGGCGAUCUAAUAAACCCUCCGGUGCACAGGGACGAAAACGGAGAAAGGAUGAAGAGAAAAAGAAAGCCCAGUAUAGAGAUGCACUCAGGCAAUAUUUGCAGAGGCCGGCACCUGCUGGAGACAGGACACCUGAUCCUUCAUCUGAACUUUGGCUUUGGCUGCUUUGGACUGUUGGGUUGGAGCAGAACACAGGAUGAUAAGGAAUGAGCUCCCCAGAGAGGACAGAAGAGACAGUGUAAGAUGCCCAUUUUAGAAUCUCUGAACUGUCAUGCAUUUUAGCUAGCAUAAUUUUACAAUGGGAUAAGACAGUUGUUACAGUGUUUAUACAGACUGAUGAAAAAGGUGGAAUAAAGUAAAUACAUUAAGUACUGAACUAAUGAGCUAUGCUGUGUGCAAAGCUAUUUAGUGAAAUUGGUUUGCAUGCAAUUGCUUCAAUAUGUACACCACUAUUUAUAAAAAAAAAAAAAGCGUUGAUACUUAACAAGAAUAAUAGCACUGAGUCUUUUUGUUGAACGUUUAAUGAAUUGUGAAUCUUAGGUCAUUC